rnacentral:rRNA from 1 species
UGCAAGUCGAACGAGAGAUGAGGAGCUUGCUCUUCAAAUCGAGUGGCGAACGGGUGAGUAACGCGUGAGGAACCUGCCUCAAAGAGGGGGACAACAGUUGGAAACGACUGCUAAUACCGCAUAAGCCCACGGCUCGGCAUCGAGCAGGGGGAAAAGGAGCAAUCCGCUUUGAGAUGGCCUCGCGUCCGAUUAGCUAGUUGGUGAGGUAAUGGCCCACCAAGGCGACGAUCGGUAGCCGGACUGAGAGGUUGAACGGCCACAUUGGGACUGAGACACGGCCCAGACUCCUACGGGAGGCAGCAGUGGGGAAUAUUGCACAAUGGGGGAAACCCUGAUGCAGCGACGCCGCGUGGAGGAAGAAGGUCUUCGGAUUGUAAACUCCUGUUGUUGAGGAAGAUAAUGACGGUACUCAACAAGGAAGUGACGGCUAACUACGUGCCAGCAGCCGCGGUAAAACGUAGGUCACAAGCGUUGUCCGGAAUUACUGGGUGUAAAGGGAGCGCAGGCGGGAGAACAAGUUGGAAGUGAAAUCCAUGGGCUCAACCCAUGAACUGCUUUCAAAACUGUUUUUCUUGAGUAGUGCAGAGGUAGGCGGAAUUCCCGGUGUAGCGGUGGAAUGCGUAGAUAUCGGGAGGAACACCAGUGGCGAAGGCGGCCUACUGGGCACCAACUGACGCUGAGGCUCGAAAGUGUGGGUAGCAAACAGGAUUAGAUACCCUGGUAGUCCACACCGUAAACGAUGAUUACUAGGUGUUGGAGGAUUGACCCCUUCAGUGCCGCAGUUAACACAAUAAGUAAUCCACCUGGGGAGUACGACCGCAAGGUUGAAACUCAAAGGAAUUGACGGGGGCCCGCACAAGCAGUGGAGUAUGUGGUUUA